UAUUCUACCCGACGGGGAAGGAUGAGAAGCUUCGACUAAGGUUCGACUCGAGCGCCAGCGAGAGAACGUUGCCGCAGGCAAUGGCCCGAAGGGCGAGGAGCGAUAGCGACGAGUUAUCCUUCCCCCUCUAUUC
rnacentral:sRNA from 1 species